rnacentral:misc_RNA from 1 species
GUAUAAAGUUUAUAUAGGCACUGAGGCCUAAAUUAUACAUUCUGUUACAUACUAGGUGUAUAUGAAAAACGUAGGCUUGGAAAGUGCAAAGAAAGCCGACGCAGAGAGCGCAGCAUUCCUCCCGACCGAGCUGCCUCGGAAAAUCUAUCCAGGUCUACAAGACGUGCACAGGUGGAGAUGAGGAUGGCGAGUGUGCACAUGCCCCCGAGAAGGCCAGCAACAACCACACCAAGUUCAUUCAAUAAUGAUCCUUCCGCAGGUUCACCUACGGAAA